rnacentral:rRNA from 1 species
CGCGAACGGCUCAUUACAACAGGUAUAAUUUACUUGAUUUUGAUAAUCCUACAUGGAUAACUGUGGUAAUUCUAGAGCUAAUACAUGCCCUAAAGCUCUGACCUUGCGGAAAGAGUGCAUUUAUUAGAACAAAACCAAGCGGCUCUGCCGUCUUCCACUGACUUAAAAUAACUAAGCUGAUCGUAUGGUCUUGUACCGGCGACGUAUCUUUCAAGUAUCUGCCUUAUCAACUUUCGAUGGUAGUGUAGUGGACUACCAUGGUUGUGACGGGUAACGGAGGAUAAGGGUUCGACUCCGGAGAGGGAGCUUGAGACACGGCUACCAUGUCUAAGGACAGCAGCAGGCGCGCAAAUUACCCACUCUCAGAACGAGGAGGUAGUGACGAAAAAUAACGAGACCGUUCUCUAUGAGGCCGGUCAUCGGAAUGGGUACAAUCUAAACCCUUUAACGAGUAUCUAUGAGAGGGCAAGUCUGGUGCCAGCAGCCGCGGUAAUUCCAGCUCUCAAAAUGCAUAGAAUUAUUGCUGCGGUUAAAAAGCUCGUAGUUGGAUCUGUGCCGGAGACUCGGUCCACUUUAGGGUGCGCACUGUGUUCUCUGGCUUUUUGCCGGUUUUCUCAUUGUAGCCUUUACCGGUUGCAAUGGGUGGCUGGCGAGUUUACCUUGAAGAAAUCAAAGUGCUUAAUACAGGCGAUUUGCUUGAAUGUGGUGCAUGGAAUAAUAGAAAAGGAUUUCGGUUCUCUUUUAUUGGUUUUACGAGCUGAGAUAAUGGUUAACAGAGACAAACGGGGGCAUUCGUAUCGUUGCGUGAGAGGUGAAAUUCUUGGACCGCAGCGAGACGAACUACAGCGAAAGCAUUUGCCAAGAAUGUCUUCAUAAAUCAAGAACGAAAGUCAGAGGUUCGAAGGCGAUCAGAUACCGCCC